AUUGAACUCGCUGUGAAGAUGCAGUGUACCCGCGGCAAGACGGAAAGACCCCGUGAACCUUUACUAUAGCUUGACACUGAACAUUGAGCCUUGAUGUGUAGGAUAGGUGGGAGGCUUUGAAGCGUGGACGCCAGUCUGCGUGGAGCCGACCUUGAAAUACCACCCUUUAAUGUUUGAUGUUCUAACGUGGACCCGUGAUCCGGGUUGCGGACAGUGUCUGGUGGGUAGUUUGACUGGGGCGGUCUCCUCCUAAAGAGUAACGGAGGAGCACGAAGGUUGGCUAAUCCUGGUCGGACAUCAGGAGGUUAGUGCAAUGGCAUAAGCCAGCUUGACUGCGAGCGUGACGGCGCGAGCAGGUGCGAAAGCAGGUCAUAGUGAUCCGGUGGUUCUGAAUGGAAGGGCCAUCGCUCAACGGAUAAAAGGUACUCCGGGGAUAACAGGCUGAUACCGCCCAAGAGUUCAUAUCGACGGCGGUGUUUGGCACCUCGAUGUCGGCUCAUCACAUCCUGGGGCUGAAGUAGGUCCCAAGGGUAUGGCUGUUCGCCAUUUAAAGUGGUACGCGAGCUGGGUUUAGAACGUCGUGAGACAGUUCGGUCCCUAUCUGCCGUGGGCGCUGGAGAACUGAGGGGGGCUGCUCCUAGUACGAGAGGACCGGAGUGGACGCAUCACUGGUGUUCGGGUUGUCAUGCCAAUGGCACUGCCCGGUAGCUAAAUGCGGAAGAGAUAAGUGCUGAAAGCAUCUAAGCACGAAACUUGCCCCGAGAUGA
rnacentral:rRNA from 1 species